CCUACGGGGGGCAGCAGUCGAGAAUCAUUCACAAUGGGGGAAACCCUGAUGGUGCGACGCCGCGUGGGGGAAUGAAGGUCUUCGGAUUGUAAACCCCUGUCAUGUGGGAGCAAAUUAAAAAGAUAGUACCACAAGAGGAAGAGACGGCUAACUCUGUGCCAGCAGCCGCGGUAAUACAGAGGUCUCAAGCGUUGUUCGGAAUCACUGGGCGUAAAGCGUGCGUAGGCUGUUUCGUAAGUCGUGUGUGAAGGGGGCGGGCUCAACCCGCGGACGGCACAUGAUACUGCGAGACUAGAGUAAUGGAGGGGGAACCGGAAUUCUCGGUGUAGCAGUGAAAUGCGUAGAUAUCGAGAGGAACACUCGUGGCGAAGGCGGGUUCCUGGACAUUAACUGACGCUGAGGCACGAAGGCCAGGGGAGCGAAAGGGAUUAGAUACCCGAGUAGUC
rnacentral:rRNA from 1 species